rnacentral:rRNA from 1 species
ACUCCUACGGGAGGCAGCAGUGGGGAAUAUUGGACAAUGGGCGAAAGCCUGAUCCAGCAAUGCCGCGUGAGUGAUGAAGGCCUUAGGGUUGUAAAGCUCUUUUACCCGGGAUGAUAAUGACAGUACCGGGAGAAUAAGCCCCGGCUAACUCCGUGCCAGCAGCCGCGGUAAUACGGAGGGGGCUAGCGUUGUUCGGAAUUACUGGGCGUAAAGCGCGCGUAGGCGGCUUUGUAAGUUAGAGGUGAAAGCCCGGAGCUCAACUUCGGAAUUGCCUUUAAGACUGCAUCGCUAGAAUCGUGGAGAGGUGAGUGGAAUUCCGAGUGUAGAGGUGAAAUUCGUAGAUAUUCGGAAGAACACCAGUGGCGAAGGCGACUCACUGGACACGUAUUGACGCUGAGGUGCGAAAGCGUGGGGAGCAAACAGGAUUAGAAACCCCAGUAGUCCCAUGAU